AACGAAAACUUAACCUAAUAGAAAAGUGAAACCACAAACCUGCCAAUAGCAGAAUCUUUAGAGAAAUGACUCGAAACUCCUGCCUUAAAGCCCUAAAUGGCGGCUUCAAUAUCAGCCCCAUUGAGCAUGAAAUUCAUUUACUUAAAUAAAAUCUGAAUCUCAGCCCAAACCUGGGAGAUUCAAAACCUGAGAGCGGUCUUACCAAAGACGCCCAUAUGUCUGGUGAGGUCAGUCGGAUGCAAGCAGUUUGUGCUGGUACCAGGGCCCCAGCUACUGAUGAAGUGGCAGGAGUCCACGGAAGCCUACUUCGAAGUUCCCGGGGCUUCCAGGGGAGGUGAGAACACAAGUGACGGGAGAGCCUGGGGAGGGACUGUCUGAUUGACGAGAUUCCUGGGGAGGCGAUUCAUGACAGCUGAGUUCCUUUUGGAGGAUCCGUCUUCAGGCAGUCUGAUCCCCCAGGAAAGCAGCUGGAAAACAAGAGCAUGUGAAGGAAGCGCGGCAGCUCCUCGCCAGCCAGACAGCCAGCCCCGCACCGCAGGAGUCGACAUGCACGGCAGCCUAGACGCCAUCAGUUAAACUUAUAUGUAGGCUUGCUGAGGAAAACGACUUUCAAACACAAGGCAAAACAAAAACAUGAAACCAAGGGUUCCAACAUUCAUCACCCAGUUUCAGGGACACCCUUGUAGGAAUGCUACAGCCUCUUUCUUACCCAUUCAAACCAGUCGCUCUGCUGCAUACCCACAUCACAGGAGGCCCUCAGCCCCGACACACAGGCUCACUCAGCCCAGGGACAUCAGCACCUGUGCCAGCUCCGCAAGGUAUCCACCACGCGGCCAGAACUGAGGCCCAGCAAUAGCUGAAAUGUCCUUUAAAUUAACAUGUACAACACACAACCCCCAAGAGCUGACAUCCCCAAAGCCCUACCACAAAUAGCUGACUCCUACUUAUACCUGCAGGAGCAGGUACUGACCUCUGCAAUUCUAAACCGUCCACUUUGGGCAAAAUUCAUCAAGCUAUGGAUAUGAAAAAAGGCCCCCAAGAGUUUCGCUCUUGUUGCCCAGGCUGUAGUGCAAUGGCGCGAUAUUGGCUCACUGCAACCCCUGCCUCCCAGGUUCAAGUGAUUCUCCUGCCUCACCAAGUAGCCGUGAUUACAGGAUAUGAUUCAUAGUCCAGCGUUUGAGUGAGCACUCCAGUCAGAACGAACUCUGCAUUGUGAACAUCUGAACAGGGUGGAAACAGACACUUGUUAGAGAUCCACUGCUAUGCGUGCACACAUACUCACACAGGUAAGCGGGGAAACGUACCUAUGCCUCUGGCAAAAUAUUCUCGGCAUAAAUGAAGGUCAUUUUCACAGGAUAUUAAAAUUAUUUCCGACAAACUCUAAGGAAAAGAAAAUGAGUUUCUCAGUGACCGAACACUGAAUGUGAUAUAGGGCAAUGACGGACUCGCUGGCGGACUCCACUCUACCCACCGAGUUCUGCUUGUGCUCCAUGAGCUUCCGGAAAGAUGGCUGCUUGGAUAACACCUUUCCUCCUGCACACUCUACGAUUGCCUUCAUAGUGGAAAGACUUGGGCAGAUUCCAGGUGUGAUGUAAAAAUAUUUUGCCUAAAAUUAAAUGAAAAUAUAUGUAUUAUGUUCUUAAAAUGCUUUAAUUUUUAGAGUACAUAAUUUUCAUAGAUUCUGCCCUGAGACUUUUGACAAAAUUUCAAAUUUUAUGACAUUAUGAAGGUACUAUUCUCCUACUAGCACUCAAUCUGAAGUGGAAGAGGAAUCCAGCUAUGUAAAUUUGGAAUGUAAGCAUUUUCACAUGUUAAGUAUGCCUGAAGAUGAUUUAAAGUAACCAGAACUUAAGUCCCUAAAACAAAGUGUUUUGUGAAUAAGCAAGAAUAUUACAAAUAUUUUUCACAAUUUCUAUACAAUUUUAAAUCAGCAUUAUAUUUCACCACACUUAUCUGCCCAGCAACAGCCUCUGGCAUAGCAUGCUGCCUGGCUUAUAGCCCUUUUCUUUAUUUUCUCCAUAUUAUUUGAACUCAGAGCAGGAAAUGAUAUUGAUGCUUAAGAUUUAAUUAUCUAACAAGAUUGCUCCUGAGGAUACCACAAAAUACUAUUCUGUCUGAAACUGCAAAUAAUUUCUAAUUCCUGUUGACUCCUUAAGAAGGUUAAAGAACCGAUUAUCUUUAUUGAUUUACUUAGUUCUUUGGUACAAAAAAAAUUCCUAGCUGUUCUAACACUUAUCUAACAUUAAAAAUCUUUUAGUACUGAAUUAUAUCUAUGCACACACUGAAUAUUUUCCCAAGUAUCUUCUCCAGCUGAAUAUACAUUUACUGACAAUAGUACGAAGUAAGCGAUGUCCUCUAAAGAUUUAUUAAAAGCAGAAAAAUGAACAUGCCUCUUAACCAAUUACUCAAAAACCUAUUCUUUGAAUAACUUAUUUCUCAUAGAUGUAUUUAUUAAAUUUGUGUACUUAUUUUUAAACAUUAUAGUAAAGAAAAGUUCUCUAGAGAUGUGCUGUGGUUCACAGGAGGAAGACCUCCAGUGGCAAUGUCCAAGAAGGAAGCCAAGAGUGUACCUUAAAGAGUGGAGAAACGUGUGCCCGUUUUAAGGAUUCUUCCAAGCUGAAAGAGAAAAGUACUUCUGCCUCAGCAUCUCGGAGAAUGUAGUUCUGCUCAUCUGGAAAACAGAACAGCACAUACUCUGAAAAGUGUGGACACAUGAAGUGUGGCAAGUGUGACCCACAAAAUUCUCGCCCAUAUUCAGCAUAUGGACCAGUUUGCUGACUGCUGGGCAGGAGCAACCACAUCAUGACAGAAAUGCAGGGAUCUGUUCACCAACGGCCAGAAAUACAAAAUCAAUCCCUGAGUCAACCAGCAGAUAGAAAGGCUGCUUUUUAGGUGAAAGGAGAAAAAGAAUGUCUAAAAUUUGGAAAAACAAAAAAUGAUGAAUUAAAAAAGGAACAAAAUAAGUACUGUUACACAUGAGAUGGUAUAUUUGAAGUGUUACUUUCAAAGCUGAUAUGCCUUCUGAAGAACUUGUGUGAGAUCACCAAGAAUAGUUAAUGUUUAUAAUAGAGAAAACACCACCGGGUGCAGUGGCUCACGCCUAUAAUCCCAGCACUUUGGGAGGCCGAGGUGGGCGGAUCUCUUGAGGUCAGGAGUUCAAGACCAGCCUGGCCAACAUGGUGAAACCCUGUCUCUACUAAAAAAUACAAAAAAAUUUAGCCAGGUGUCGUCGUGGUGGGCGCCUGCAGUCCCAGCUACUAGGGAGGCUGAGGCAGGAGAAUGGCUUGAACCCAGGAGGCAGAGGUUGUAGUAAGCCAAUGGCACCACUCUACUCCAGCCUGAGCAACAGACUGGGUGAGACUCUGUCUUAAAAAGAAAAGAAAGCAAUAUUGAAAAAUACAAUAAUACAGCUAAGAUGAUCCUGUCACGGAUGAGACAUUGAGAUUUUGGUUUUUUCAAACAGGGUUAUGUUAACUUAGUAGUAGCAACGUAAAGACUCAACCUGAACAUUAAACUUUUCAUGGAAGUACAAAAGAAAUGAGUAUCCUAGAAAUUGAUUAUAAUAUUGAUGUCUCAAAUUUUAUGUAAGUUACACAUAAAUAUAAAAUCCCAAAAACAUGCAUCUACCAAAACAGGUGGAGAAAAGAGUCUUUUCAACAAAUGAUGCUGGAACAACUGCACAUCCAUAUGCAAUAAAAGGAAUCUGGACACAGACUUUACCCUCUUUUAAAAAAAGACUGACCCAAAAAUGGAACACAGACCUAAAUGUAAAAUGCAAAACUAUGAAACUCCUAGAAGAUAACACAGGAGAGAAUCUAAGGGACCUUGAGUUUGGCAAUGACUUUUUAGAUACAACACCAAAGACACAAUCCAUGAAAGAAAUAGUAAGUAACCCGGACCUCACCUAUUAGAAUGGCCAAAACCCAGAGCACUAACACCAGCAUAUGCUGAGGAGGAUGUGGAGCAACAGGAGCUCCCAUUCACUGCAGGUGGGAAUGCAAAAUGGCACAGGCACUUCAGAAGACAGCCCGGCGGUUUCUUACAAAGCUAAACAUACUCUUACCAUAUGAUCAAGCAAUUGCAACCUUGUUGAUUUACCAAAAGGAGUUGAAAACCUAUGUCCACACUAAAACCUGUACAUGGAUGUUUUAGCAGCUUUACUGAUAACUGCGAAAAUUUAGAAUCAGCUAAGUUGUCCUUCUGUAGGUGAGGGGCUGAAUAGAUACAUUCUGACAAUGGAAUAUUAUUUAGUGCUAAAAAGAAAUGCUUUAUGAAGCCAUGAAAAGACAUGGAGGAAGCUGGGACGUAUAUUGCUAAGCAAAGGAAGCAAAUCUGAAAAUCCUAUAUACUGUAGGAUUCCCAAUAUGUAACAUUCUGGAAAGGGCAAGACUAUAGAAAGAAUAAAAGAUCAGUGGUUGCCAGGGGUCAGCAGGCAGGAAGGAAUGAGUGGGUGGAGCACAGAGGAUUUUCAGGGCAGUGGAACAACUCCAUAUGACGCUGUAAUAGCAAAAUCAUGUCCUUACACAUUUGUUAAAACCCAAUGACUGUUCAAGGCCAAGAGUGAGCCCUAAUUUAACUAUGGACUUUGGGUGACUGGCCAAGAGUGAGCCCUAAUGUAACUAUGGACUCUGGGUGACUAGCCAAGAGUGAGCCCUAAUGUAACUAUGGACUUCGGGUGACUGGCCAACAGGGAGCCCUAAUGUAACUAUGGACUUUGGGUGACUGGCCAAGAGUAAGCCCUAAUGUAACUGUGGACUUUGGGUGACUAUGACCCAAAUGUCAAUGCAGCUUCAUUAACAGUUAAUAAACAUUUCACUUUGGCGUGGGAUGGUGACUGUAGUGGGGGUGGCGGUGUGUGUGCAUGGGUAUGGGCUGGGGUAUAUGGGAACUCACUGUGCUUUCUGUAAUUUUGCUGUGAACCUAAAACUGCCCUAAAAAUUGUCUAUUUUUAAAAAACAAUAAUUAUAAACUGGAAAAAUUCUCUUAGGAAAUCCUAAAAUAUGGAAGAUAAAAUAUGAAAUGUUUUCUCACUAUUAAAUGUUUAUAACAACCACUUUCUAACCCUCAGAGAGCAACACAGCAAAUACUUAUUAACAGUGCCAUAAAGAAAUAAAAGCUAGUCAACCAAAACUUCCCAUCAAAUAGGAACUGUAAACUUUAUAUACAGAUAAAACAACCAUAUUUUCACAAACUGAAACUUGAAAAAUUAAGUAAAUUGGUCAUUCACUAAAUUGGCUGCUUGGCAAACUAAUUUUCAAAGAAUUAGCAUGUUCUUGGUUGGAAAAGAAAAAGAAUAAGCAAAGUCAGAAAGUAACAAAAAAGAUCUCUAAAGCUGGGUGUUGCCCAAAAGCAGCCGAUGGAGCCAACCAGAGGCUGGAACAUUACAGACCUGCUUUCCCCACCACCCAAGCUGGUGUAUGCCAUGCUCCCACAGCAGAAGCUAAGAAAGUACACUUACUAUUUCUAUUAACGAAUAGACUAUCUCCUUCUAAACUGUAUAACAUUAUAUGAAAUUGGAAGCUAAAAUGUUUGUAGUAAUUGUUUCUACUAUGUUUUUCUUCUGCCUUCAUUAAGUUUUAUGUUUCAUUAAUACCUUUUUAGAGUCAAAAAAUUUUCAAAAUUUCAAUUAAAAAAAUUUCUAAAUACCACUUA